CGCACCAUUGUGGGCAGCAUUGUGCAAAACUUACUGCCAUCAGUAACCUCAGGCCCUGUAGAACAAUGUGGUCAGCUGGAGGAGAUCAUCCCCUCCAGGAACAGCUGGUCAGCUAUGUUCUGGAUGAGGGUAGGCCUGCCAAUGAGAUUAUGAUUAAGGAUGGCCCUACAUGUUUGACCAGAGAGAACCUGUUAUCUUUAGGUCUAAACAGGGAAAUGGACUCAAUGGUGGGAAAUACUUGUCUGAGGCUUGUUAAGGAGAUGGUUGAGUUACAGGUAUGUAUACACAUGUAUUAACGUAUAUUUUAGAGGGACCUAUGUGAGCUCUGUGCAGUACAACAAAGUCAGCUGUCUUUCUUUAGGGGAAAAAGGUCUUUAUUAUGGACCUCCACAUCCCCCCAACAUGGCUCCCACCCUUGAGUUGUGACCCU